rnacentral:miRNA from 1 species
UGGUGAGAACAAGAAACGCGGCG